UCCAAGCUGUCUUUCUAGCUCUUGGUUCAUGGUGUAACCUUUGAACUCUGUUUUUUUUUUUUUGCUGCUUUUUUUCUUAAAGAUGCUGAUCAGCUCUGGCUCACACUUUAAUACCGAAUAAUACUCUGCUUAGGAAACUGGAGGAAUGUGAGAAAGGAACGACAUCAUUUCCUACUCAUGGAUUAUGCCCUGGGUCGUUGACCGGAAGAUCAAGGUUCAAGACCCGGCACCACCAAGCUGCCCCUGUUGGACCCCCCAACCCACCCUGCUCCAGGAACACUGUAUCAUGGCAGACGCUGCUCUCUGACGCCAACCCCCAAGGAUAUUCUGAGCUUCUGAGUCUGGGACCUACAGUACAGAGCACGCGACCUCGAAACGAGCCACACGUCUGAGCUCCAGAACAAUCUGAGCAAUUCACAGGAUAUCAUUUCAAAAAAUUCCACGAAGCUAUAUAGGCUUGAUUCCACCGUCCUUGCCUAUUUUAUGAUACGCCGUUGUUGGAUUACUCUGAAGAUGAGAAAAGAGUAGACUGAAAGGAUGGUGUGAUAUUCUCGCUCGCGGUUUUUUUUUUUUUCUUUCUUUUUUCCCCUCCCUCUCUCUCCGUCAUCUAGCGCCGGUGUGUGCUGCGCUUCAGCUGCAGGAGAAAGUGUGAAGGAGCAGCGUUAUAUCAGAAGUAAUAACCUUGAACAUGUCUUGCUGUAUUAGUGGCGUUCUGGCCGGGCUUAUUCGCGCCUGAGUCAGCCGCUGAUUACCUUGUCAAGGAGCUCCGGCUGUGUUAAAAGUGCAAGAGUGUUCUAGUGCCGGCUCGCAAAAAAUAGCGCAGACAAAUUGCCACCUUUGCUUUCGGAAGUCGUCAAGCAAAUUGGCAGGCGUCCUGUUUCUGUGUACACUUUUAUAAAGAAAUAGGCUGAAAUUGUGCAUAAGUGAGUGCAAGCGCUUCCGUGUUUUUUUUUUUUUUUUUUCUGCCUACAUGUCUGCUGUGUCUACAGGGAAGUUUAUAAAGUUUCAGGCUGAUGCUGCAGUUCUGCAAAGGAACCCUGAAUAAUAAUGACUUCUCGAGGGAUGUUCUUACACACCCAGCUAAAGUUUUAUUAACUAGCUCGCUAUUAGAAUAGGGAAGGUUUUUGAGGUUUAGGAACGUGGCCUCAGAGGUACCGUGUCAACAAACCGAACAACUUGUUUAUCCUGCUAGUUUAAAUAAUAACUGAACGACGUCUCUGAAAUGUUCCCGUCACGCCAUGUCAAGCUAUCUAACAUAGAAGCCAUUGCUUUAAGGCACGACACUGAAUUUCUACAGCUAAUAUUAUGUUCGCUAUGACUCCCGUAUCUCCCAUUAUGUCCUGAUGCUGUUCCUCUCACUAGGUUGCCUGGAAAUGACCAUAUUUUGGGAAACUUUCUGUGUCCUACAACAGCACAAAUAGCGACGUCCACAAUACUCCAUAAAAGGCUACUAAUAAUGGUGAAAUGCUGAAAGACUUCAUUGUGUCGGAGUUGCUUUUAUAGAAUCUCGCCAAUCAGAAUCAAUAAAGUGUUGACAAAAUAGUCUUCAGAAAAUAUCAAACAGCCACUAUUUCUUUUAGUGUUGGCCAUCGAACGAAUACAACAGCUUUCUGGGAAGCUUUGUUAUGACUACGCCGUCAUCCUCGGCAAAAAAAUGUGCAGCGCUUAUGCGAGGCACUAACGCUGACAACACUGAUCAACAUUAGCAUUCAACUGCUGUGAAAUAAUUAAAUCUAGCUGAUGAUUAUGGGGUUGCUAUGGCUAAGUCUACGGAGACGCAAAGCCCCGCAGCCCGAGAUGUUAUUACUGUGAAAGAUUAAAUCCCUAGGUAUACGAAUCUUAUCACACUUAGUGAUGCAAGUUGACAGUAAUUCGGAAAGUACAUAUUAAAAAGGGAAUUAGUGUUUAGGUGGUCAAUAUCGAGCUAGAUGCACUUGUGACUGAUUUCAAAUGAAUGUUGAACGCGACGCAAAAAAUAAAAAAUAAAUAAAUGAAAUAAAAUCGGCUGUAUUUAUUUAAUCGGAAACUAAUAAAGUUUUUCACGGAGAUGAAAAGCGAGCGAAAUAUAUUGAGGAUUUUUUAUGGGGAAAAAAAAGAGAAGAAAGGAAUUGUAAUAAAUCUGAAUAAUGUAGGACCGUUCCCCCCCCCCCCCCCACAUUUUUCAGUAAAAUGAUAAAACAUUCAUGUUCCUAGCACACGCUGUUAAUUACUGUUGUCUUUUAAUGACUAACACCUGAUAUUGACUCAAUUAGCGCAGUCCUCCCUUUCAGUCGAUAAGAAAAGCAGGACACGGGCCAAAUCCUGGAGGUUGUGUUCACUUUGGCUGAAGCAGCACAGUCUUGGAGAAAUCCGGACAUGAAGGUCAGGAGGGGGAAAAAAGUGUAUGUGAUAUGUCAGGAACUAUUGAUCCCCUUUUUGGUUAAAAUCCGAUUCUUUAUGAGAUUAUUUUCUGCACUGUACAGUGUGUCAAAGUUUCGAUUUUGUGGGAACUCGCAGAAUCUCGGCUCCUCGGAGACAUCCGAUGCUAAAAGGUCACGCUAUGACUUUAUAGAAAUUUGAUGUACAGUUGUGAAUAGAUGUUUUAGCAUCACUUUAAUAUCUUACAGGUGAUCCCUCUCGAAAUGGCCAAGUACCACACCUUGCAAGUCGCCCCAGCUUGGCAUGGUAUAGUCUUUUCAAGUGGUUAAGGCUCUGGGUUGUUUAUCAGAGGAUCGAAGUCACCACCAAGCUCCACUGUUGGGCAAUUGAGCAAGGUUCGUAACCCUCCCCGCUCCAGGGUGCUGUAUCAUAGCUGCCCCUGCACUCUGACCCCAACUUCCUCAGCUGGGAUAUGCGAAGAAAUGUAUUCCACUGUGCUGUAAUGUAUGUGUGGCGAUAAUAAAAGGCCUCAGUUCU